rnacentral:rRNA from 1 species
CUACGGGCGUCAGCAGUGGGGAAUAUUGGACAAUGGGCGAAAGCCUGAUCCAGCCAUGCCGCGUGUGUGAAGAAGGCCUUCGGGUUGUAAAGCACUUUCAGUGGGGAAGAAAGCCUUGGGGCUAAUACCCUCGAGGAAGGACAUCACCCACAGAAGAAGCACCGGCUAACUCCGUGCCAGCAGCCGCGGUAAUACGGAGGGUGCGAGCGUUAAUCGGAAUUACUGGGCGUAAAGCGCGCGUAGGCGGUCUGAUAAGCCGGUUGUGAAAGCCCCGGGCUCAACCUGGGAACGGCAUCCGGAACUGUCAGGCUAGAGUGCAGGAGAGGAAGGUAGAAUUCCCGGUGUAGCGGUGAAAUGCGUAGAGAUCGGGAGGAAUACCAGUGGCGAAGGCGGCCUUCUGGACUGACACUGACGCUGAGGUGCGAAAGCGUGGGUAGCAAACAGGAUUAGAUACCCGAGUAGUC